GCGUUCCUAGCUGGAGAGAGAUGCAGGGCACGGCGGUGUGCCCCAUCCACCGAAGGAGCAAGCCCCACGCAUGGAAGGUGCGGGUGAAUCUCUCAGGUAAAGCGGACAGCAGGGCAGGA
rfam:Delftia acidovorans SPH-1, complete genome.